rnacentral:sRNA from 1 species
CGGGGCUCUGUGUAUAGCCCCCUCACCCAGGGUCACAGGCACCGAGAGACUCAGCAGUCUGUCAACUCUGGAGCCCUCCCGCAACCGCACGCGGUUUCUAUCGUGAAGGCUGAAGAAGGCUCGCACUGAAAGCCAUUUGGACACGAGAAGAUAGAUAGGCUCCCCCAUGCUCAGUAGUGUUUACCAGAUGGGGUCAAACGAACUAACUCCAACUCAGCGGACAAACUGCUGGUAGUCGGCUCGCGGCAAUAAUAUAAAAGUACUAGAUGCCCACCUUCACACUGGCCACACACACGGGGCCAAGCGAGCCAUCAACGUUUCAAACCCGCUGUCCCACGCACAUCGGCGGCUAA